AUGAACGCUGGCGGCGUGCCUAAUACAUGCAAGUCGAGCGAACGGACGAGAAGCUUGCUUCUCUGAUGUUAGCGGCGGACGGGUGAGUAACACGUGGAUAACCUACCUAUAAGACUGGGAUAACUUCGGGAAACCGGAGCUAAUACCGGAUAAUAUUUUGAACCGCAUGGUUCAAAAGUGAAAGACGGUCUUGCUGUCACUUAUAGAUGGAUCCGCGCUGCAUUAGCUAGUUGGUAAGGUAACGGCUUACCAAGGCAACGAUGCAUAGCCGACCUGAGAGGGUGAUCGGCCACACUGGAACUGAGACACGGUCCAGACUCCUACGGGAGGCAGCAGUAGGGAAUCUUCCGCAAAGGGCGAAAGCCUGACGGAGCAACGCCGCGUGAGUGAUGAAGGUCUUCGGAUCGUAAAACUCUGUUAUUAGGGAAGAACAUAUGUGUAAGUAACUGUGUACAUCUUGACGGUACCUAAUCAGAAAGCCACGGCUAACUACGUG
rnacentral:rRNA from 1 species